rnacentral:tRNA from 1 species
GGGGUCAUAGCUCAGUUGGUAGAGCGCGUCGUUCGCAAUGACGAGGUCAGGGGUUCGACUCCCCUUGGCUCCACCA